CAUCAACAGUACUUGGUGAAAUUUUGUAAUUGCACGUUGGAUUUGCUAUUUCCACCUGGACCUUAUACCAGCUGUCAAGCGAAGGACUUGUUGUGUUUGGCGCAGAAUAACGAUCGCUUUGUAUACUCUCGCCACGAGGAGGAGGAAUUAUAUGUGCG